rnacentral:rRNA from 1 species
GGUUGAUUCUAGUGUGGUGUUGUUGUGUGUUUGUGUUGUGUGGUGUGUUGUUUGGUGGUUGUUUUGUGGUGUUGUGGUGUGUGGUGUGUGGGUUUGUUGUGUUGGGUUCUAUGUGUGCCAGCUGACCUGCGGCCACUCAGUAGUUCGUAUCUCUAUCUUAUAACAGAGUAGGUCCUUCUGAUGGUACACGUGUAGGCUAUCAUAUAACGUGGAUCCCUGUAAUCAUAGUCCCGUCUAACGACAUCCUAGUGCUGUGUGUGUGCUAUAGAGAGAACGUAUAAGGCAUCCGUACACACGUACUCAUGGUUAUAACAAGCAUCCGUAUCCAUAACUUGACCUGUUACCAUAUGACCCACAUGGUCUGAUGGUAAGUCCUCG